CGGAUCUCUUGGUUCUGGCAUCGAUGAAGAACGCAGCAAAAUGCGAUAAGUAAUGUGAAUUGCAGAAUUCAGUGAAUCAUCGAAUCUUUGAACGCACAUUGCGCCCGCCAGUAUUCUGGCGGGCAUGCCUGUUCGAGCGUCAUUUCAACCCUC
rnacentral:rRNA from 1 species